UCAGCAAGUGAGGACUUGGCAGUUGGGCUGGAAUUAAACCCCAUGAAGAAACGGAUUCUUCUGCAUCACUCAACUAUCAAAACUUUAUCUACCGAGUGACUGCAGUCGACACAGAGAGGUCAAGCUGGAUUCAGCCACGCAACAGUGCCACAGGAUCUGACAACAGAAAGAGCACAACUGCUGAAGUAGGCCUCCUGCUCAGGAGACUGUCAAUGUGCAGCUGUCAAUGUCUCCAUAAAGCCCCAUAUCCAUAAUAGACAAAGCACUCAUCAAGCCUCAGCUUCAUCUGGCCUCCCAGAUGCCCCAUCACCAGGGGCAAAUCCCAUCCAGGACUGAGCGCCGCACCAUGCAGCCAGAUGUGAGCUGGCAACAUGGCCGUGGGGUCAACACAUGGCAAAGCGUCUGGGUGUGAGGGGAGCACUUGAAAAUGAGCGAACAGCAGAACAUGGUGAGGAAUGGAGCUGUGCAGAUACGCACACAACUCUUGGUCAGCAGCACAGAUGAGUUCUGGGAAAACAAGCAGCUGCAGGAGGAGGAAAGGACCAUAAGGCUGGACGGCUUGCCAAAUUUCAUCAUCUAUUAUGGAUUGCCUGAGAUGCACACUCUACUGCAACCAGGGGCAUGUCUCAGAUUCACGUGCAAUUGCAAAUCUGCGUCCACACACAUAUGCAUGCACACAUGCACACAUCUGCAAUCAAACCUGCAGCAUUUCAACCCCCUAGACCCUGUAGAACCAGGGCUUAGAAGGACAAACUGAAGCUUCAAUGUUACAUUGACAUACACUCGCAUGCAUGAUGCGUUACAGGAUGUCACUUCAUUCAUAAUCAUCUCUUUAGUAAAUCUUCAUCCUAUCCAUGUUCUACAAGUCAUCUGUUCUGCUACUCAUUUAUCAAGAGUUUUUUUUUACUCCAAGCCAUAAACUUAUAUAUAUGCUUACGUAAUAAUUUAUCCUGUAUAGCUUAAGUGUCAUUUCAUUUGUUUUUAUAAUUCUCUGCAAUGGUUAGAGGUGCUCACUAGAUAACAUAUUCACUUCAUAGGCAGAGGUGUCCAGCAGGGGAUGGCCACAGCUGGAGCCCAGUGCACAUAUAGCAGCAUAUAGUAGAAUCUAUCUAACAGCUGUUGUCAGGCUCAUCUAAUGUGGUUUUGUGCUGUGCUGUGCUUGGUGUAUCCUUUCGGUGAGCAAUAGUCUGAGCCUAAUAUCAACUUUGUUCAUAUUAUGUAUUUACAUAAUAAAUCUGCUCUUCUUAACUUGAGUUGGUUAACAAAAAUGAAGUAAAGCCUGCAAGCUGGUUGAAGCCAACUUUUCAUGUAGCUAUAUAUAUAAAAUAUAUCCAAUUCACCCUUUGUGAUAUUUAAGUUGUCUAUGCUCUGCUCACUCUUUUACCUAGCGGUAUGCUGCUGCUGCAGUGCUCAUUUGCAAACACUUGCUUUUGCAGUGACUACUGCAGCUGGUUUUGUGCUGUGAGCCUAUUAUAGCUACUUACUGCAUAUAGCAUUUCAUGAGCCCCACACCCACCUCAGAAUCCACCUGUAGGCUCUGAAGGCACCAGAAUUCAUCAAAAGUGGUUGUCGCAUGGUCAAGCUUCGGAAACCCCCUACCUCCACACCUUUCUGAUGUUGAAGAUUUCUGUAACUUUAGGCAAUCGACAAACCGACAUUCACACCUACUUCACACAGUUAUUGACCAUGUGAGAGGUGAGAAAGUAAGCAGGCUUUGAAAUUCUCUCAUGCUUUCUUUUUUUCAUCCCUUACAGUAUGUUAUUCUAUGUCAGUUUUUGUGUUUAUAACCGAGUGCAACACUAUGAAUCCCUUCCAGGAGAGACUGUAUGAAAAUGUGCGGCAUUAUCCUCACGUUUAAACAUUCAUCACGUCUCGCCCCUCUGUAUGACGGUCACCUAUUCACUCCACCUAUGAGUAUAGUCUUUCUGGAGAGCUAUAAAAACAGUUCAUAAACAGAUCGUUUUAACUAGUUCUUGUCUAGCAUAGACCAGUCCUGGGUCUCAGUUCUCACAGGGGAGGAGUUUAUUACCGUAACUCCCCAAACCCUGAGCUUGGUGUAUGUAUGCUUGUGGGGAGUGACGAGGCCAGAGUCUUGAUACCAAAUAUGAAUCACUUUCGUUUCUUCGCUUUUUCGCAGUCUUCACUGUAUGAAAGUGUUACUAAUUCAAUGUAGCUCAUCUGCACAUGUCAACAUGACACCACACACUGGUCCUACUGAGAUUUCUGUGGAAAUGUUCAGUGGAAAUGUUAUUCCCCACUAGACUUAUCGUGACAUGUUCAUGGCAGGUUUAAAAAAAAAAAUGUUUAAAAGUUAAAUUUCGUCUUUGCAGCAAGUGGAAGAUUGAGGCAAGUCCCACGAACAUACAGUGGAUUACCUUGUAGGCCUCAACAACGCAAUCACUGAUCCUGUGGUUGCAUUUUAUAGAGUGGUCUUGGCAUUCUCGGCCCCAUCUUCAAGAAGGGAAAUGGGAUUACUUGUUGUUGUGCACGUUUGUGUAUCUUUUCAGAGGGAGCACUUUGGCAGGCACCAUUACCGCCCAGCAGUAAAUUGCCUUGUAAAUUACAGUGCCGGGGUAAUAAAGCCAGAUUUGUAUAUCA